rnacentral:misc_RNA from 1 species
UUUCCGUAGGUGAACCUGCGGAAGGAUCAUUAAAGAGAGUAUGCCCUUCGGGGUAGAUCUCCCACCCUUUGUUUAUAUUACCUUUGUUGCUUUGGCAGGCCCGUCUUCGGACCACCGGCUUCGGCUGGUCAGUGCUUGCCAGAGGACCCAAAACUCUUAUUAUUAAUGUCGUCUGAGUACUAUAUAAUAGUUAAAACUUUCAACAACGGAUCUCUUGGUUCUG